ensembl:lncRNA VNN3P vanin 3, pseudogene
AAUGUAAAGUUUUUCCAGUGAAACAAAACGUAAGAAUCUGAGUUUGUUUUUCAAAGAUCACUAAAUUUUAGUUAUGAUUAUAUCACAUUUUCCAAAAUGUGUGGCAGUUUUUGCCCUCCUUGCUCUGAGUGUUGGUGCACUGGACACUUUUAUUGCUGCAGUAUAUGAGCAUGCGGUGAUAUUACCAAACAGAACAGAAACACCUGUUUCAAAAGAAGAAGCUUUGCUCCUGAUGAACAAGAACAUAGAUGUUUUGGAGAAAGCAGUUAAGCUGGCAGCGAAGCAGGGUGCACAUAUCAUUGUGACCCCAGAAGAUGGAAUCUAUGGUUGGAUCUUCACCAGGGAGAGCAUUUACCCCUAUCUAGAGGAUAUACCAGACCCUGGAGUGAACUGGAUUCCAUGUAGAGACCCCUGGAGGAAGAGUAAAAAGAUGAAUGAGCCUGUUUCCAAAGAGCUUUGCUAUCACUGUCAUUCAGAAUGCAAUCAAUAUGGCCAAUGGAAAUUGUAUAGGACUUGAAAAAGGAAGCCCUACUUCUGGGACCACAUUUUACGACCACCUAGCUGAGUGAUAAAUCACUAAAAUAUAGUAAGUUUGAGGAAAUGUCUAUUGAAUUAGAUUCGGCAACACACCAGUGCAACAAAGACUCAGCUGCCUGGCCAAGGACAACUCUAUCUAUGUCGUGGCUAAUAUUGGGGACAAGAAGCCAUGCAAUGCCAGUGACUCUCAGUGUCCCCCUGAUGGCCGUUACCAAUACAACACUGAUGUGGUGUUUGAUUCUCAGGGAAAACUGUUGGCACGCUACCAUAAGCAUGGUACAACACGCUGCCCCUCCUCUCGGCUGUUCCCUUCCAUUCAGCAUGGGCCAAGGCCAUGGGAGUCAAUCUACUUGCUGCAAAUACCCACAACACCAGCAUGCACAUGACAGGGAGUGGAAUCUACGCCCCAGAAGCAGUCAAGGUGUACCACUAUGACAUGGAAACAGAGAGUGGUCAGCUGUUGCUAUCAGAACUGAAGUCUCGGCCCCGCCGUGAGCCCACCUACCCUGCAGCUGUUGACUGGCAUGCGUAUGCCAGCAGUGUCAAGCCAUUUUCCUCUGAACAGUCAGAUUUUCUGGGGAUGAUUUAUUUUGAUGAGUUUACCUUCACCAAGCUUAAGAGAAAUACAGGAAAUUACACAGCUUGCCAGAAAGAUCUGUGUUGUCACUUAACUUACAAGAUGUCUGAGAAGCGAACAGACGAGAUCUAUGCCCUAGGUGCUUUUGAUGGACUGCACACAGUAGAAGGCCAAUAUUACUUACAGAUAUGUGCAUUACUGAAGUGUCAAACCACUGACCUGGAAACGUGUGGAGAACCUGUGGGGUCAGCUUUUACCAAGUUUGAAGACUUCUCCCUCAGUGGCACAUUUGGAACGCGUUAUGUUUUCCCACAGAUCAUUCUAAGUGGGAGUCAGCUUGCCCCUGAAAGACAUUAUGAGAUUUCAAGAGAUGGACGCUUGAGGAGCCGAAGUGGAGCCCCUUUGCCUGUCUUAGUUAUGGCCCUGUAUGGAAGAGUGUUUGAGAAGGACCCUCCACGCUUAGGGCAGGGAUCUGGGAAAUUCCAGUGA